rnacentral:rRNA from 1 species
AUGGCUGCUCUCGGAAGGAUCGUCGGCCCCGUGCCGUUCAAGGACGUCGUCCAGAAAGAGGAGGAUGAACACCCGCCGGAAGAGUACGCGGACAUCAUCGCCACCUUGCCGAGCAUCACCACCGGUUUUGGGCCGUUGCUGUGCUACCAGGGUGUGUGGCUACGCCCGUGGAUGGUCCCUGGGGUGAUCGCUGUGCAGCGGCACUUGGCCCCGCGCCCCGACGACGUGCUCCUCGCGAGCCCGCCCAAGUGCGGCACCACCUGGCUCAAGGCUUUGUCCUUGGCCACCAUGGUACGGGCCACCUACCCGCCGUCCGGCGCCGAUGACCCACUCCUCCGCCUCAACCCGCACGACUGCGUCCCCCACCUUGAGGCCCUCUUCAGUGCCGGCCAGGAAGCCAAGCUGGAGGCGCUGCCGAGGCGCCGCCUUCCCCUUCUCCGAUCUGUUCGAGUUUGCAUUUGGGACCACAUUCUCGGCUACUUACGCGCCAAAAAAGCAAGUCCCGAGAGGGUCCUCUUCCUAAGGUAUGAGGAGAUGCUGCUCGACCCGGUCAGCAGUGUCCUCGGUGUGCCCUUCACGGCGGGGUUCGCCCAUGGACAUCUGCAAGCCGUGCAGCAUCGACACGAUGAAAGACACCUGGAGGCGAACAACACUGGAGUGGCUGGGCUGUUCGUGGAAGUCCCGCAUCAAUCCUUCUUCAGGAAAGGGGUCGUGGGGGAGGGGGAGGGGCACUGGGCCAACCAUAUGACGCCGGAGAUGGCCCGCCGCAUCGACGCCAUCGUCGAGGACAAGCUCCGAGGAUCGGGACUCAGCUUCACGCGCUGA